rnacentral:rRNA from 1 species
AGUGACGGUAUCUAACCAGAAAGGGACGGCUAACUACGUGCCAGCAGCCGCGGUAAUACGUAGGGUGCAAGCGUUAUCCGGAAUUAUUGGGCGUAAAGAGCUCGUAGGCGGUUUGUCGCGUCUGCUGUGAAAACUGGAGGCUCAACCUCCAGCCUGCAGUGGGUACGGGCAGACUAGAGUGCGGUAGGGGAGAUUGGAAUUCCUGGUGUAGCGGUGGAAUGCGCAGAUAUCAGGAGGAACACCGAUGGCGAAGGCAGAUCUCUGGGCCGUAACUGACGCUGAGGAGCGAAAGCAUGGGGAGCGAACAGGAUUAGAUACCCUGGUAGUCCAUGCCGUAAACGUUGGGAACUAGAUGUAGGGACCAUUCCACGGUUUCUGUGUCGCAGCUAACGCAUUAAGUUCCCCGCCUGGGGAGUACGGCCGCAAGGCUA